rnacentral:rRNA from 1 species
GCUAUCACUUAUAGAUGGGCCCGCGGCGCAUUAGCUAGUUGGUGAGGUAAUGGCUCACCAAGGCGACGAUGCGGUAGCCGACCUGAGAGGGUGAUCGGCCACACUGGGACUGAGACACGGCCCAGACUCCUACGGGAGGCAGCAGUAGGGAAAACUUCCGCAAUGGACGAAAGUCUGACGGAGCAACGCCGCGUGAGUGAAGAAGGUUUUCGGAUCGUAAAACUCUGUUGUUAGGGAAGAACACGUACGAGAGUAACUGCUCGUACCUUGACGGUACCUAACCAGAAAGCCACGGCUAACUACGUG